UCAAAUGCUUGAAAGUAUAAAGUCAAAGGUAUGUAUAAUCAGUUUUUGAUAUCUUAUUUAUCUAGCAUGACAUGGAAAACUUGAUAUGCAUCUAAAGUCUAUUAUAUGACCUAUAUGACUUAACUUGAAAGAUUUAAGUUGCUUGAAGCAUAUUGAAGUACCACAUCCUAAGUACAAUUUGUGUACAUAUGUAGCUUGCUAUAACUAUAAGCAUGAUGGCGUUGAGAAUGCAUCUAUGGAGAUAUUGAAAAGUUAUU
rnacentral:lncRNA from 1 species